GGAAACUUAAAAACUACCGUUGGAUUAAGAAAUGGACGUCCGAGAUUCAUCCACGUCACCAUGAGUUAAAAUUUAACUCGUAGAGUCACUCAUGAGUUAGUUAAUUCGUGGACGAAUAUCGGACAUCUAUUUCUCGAUCCAACGGUAGUUUCCAAGUUUUC
rnacentral:pre_miRNA from 1 species